rnacentral:miRNA from 1 species
UUAAAAGGAAAGAAUACACACACACACAAAGGUUUAUUUAUUAAACCUUUGUGUGUGUGUGUGUGUGUGUGUGUGUAUUCUUUCCUUUUAA